rnacentral:rRNA from 1 species
GACGAACGCUGGCGGCGUGCCUAACACAUGCAAGUCGAACGGAAAGACACUGCUUUUGUGCGGUUCUCGAUUGGCGAACGCGUGAGUAUCACGUGAGUAACCUGCCCUUGUCUUUCUGGUAACAUCACGGAACUCGGGCUAAUAUCCUAUAUGAGCUCCUGCUGCAUGGUGGGCAAUGGAAAUUUGCGGCUUUGGGGGAUGUAAUCGCGGCGUAUCAGCUUGAUGGUUGGGUAGUUGAUUACCCAGGCUUUGAUGGGUAGCCGACCUGAGAGAGUGAUCGGCGACAUUGGAAGUGAGCCACGGACCAGACUCCUAAGGGAGGCAGCAGACUGGAACGUGGGGCAAUAGGCGGAAGCCUGACGCAGUGAGGGCGAGUGGGUGAGGAAGACCUUGCGUUCGUAAAGACCGCCUGUGGGUUAAGAACAGAUGUAGCCUUAGACGAAGCGAGAGUGACGGUACUGGAUCAAGAAGCACCGGCUAACUACGUG